rnacentral:rRNA from 1 species
AUUGAACGCUGGCGGCAGGCCUAACACAUGCAGGUCGAACGGCAGCGGGGGGUAGCUUGCUACCCCGCCGGCGAGUGGCGGACGGGUGAGUAAUGCCUGGGGAGCUGCCCAAUCGAGGGGGAUACCAGUUGGAAACGACUGCUAAUACCGCAUACGCCCUGAGGGGGAAAGGUGGGGAUCUUCGGACCUACCGCGAUUGGAUGCACCCAGGUGGGAUUAGCUAGUUGGUGAGGUAACGGCUCACCAAGGCGACGAUCUCUAGCUGGUCUGAGAGGAUAACCAGCCACACUGGAACUGAGACACGGUCCAGACUCCUACGGGAGGCAGCAGUGGGGAAUAUUGCACAAUGGGGGAAGCCCUGAUGCAGCCAUGCCGCGUGUGUGAAGAAGGCCUUCGGGUUGUAAAGCACUUUCAGCGAGGAGGAAAGGGGUGAUGCUAAUACCAUCAUCCUGUGACGUUACUCGCAGAAGAAGCACCGGCUAACUCCGUGCCAGCCGCCGCAGUAACAC